rnacentral:sRNA from 1 species
AUGUUUCACUGUUGAGGCUGCUCAGUGGCGUAGGGCACAUGCUGGUAACUAACCUCCACAUUUAACAUCUAGGGCAUGAGUCAGAGGACAGCAUGUCUACACUGGCUGGAAGGCGAGGAAUGAGACCAAAAAUGAUGAUGCCCUUUGACUCCCAGCCACCCCAGCCUGUGAUUAGUGCCCAUCCCAUCCAUUCCCUCGAUAACCCUCACCAUCAUUUCCACUCCAGCAGCCUCGCUUCUCCAGCUCGCAGUCAUCUCUACCACCCGGGCAGCCCAUGGCCCAUUGGCACAUCCAUGUCCCUUUCAGACAGGGCCAAUUCCACAGAAUCCGUUCGAAAUACCCCCAGCACUGACACCAUGCCAGCCUCUUCGUCUCAAACAUGCUGCACUGAUCACCAGGACCCUGAAGGUGCUACCAGCUCCUCUUACUUGGCCAGCUCCCAAGAGGAAGAUUCAGGCCAGAGUCUUCCUACUGCCCAUGUUCGCCCUUCCCACCCAUUGAAGAGCUUCGCCGUGCCAGCAAUCCCGCCUCCAGGACCUCCCACCUAUGAUCCUGCAUUGCCAAGCACACCAUUACUGUCCCAGCAAGCUCUGAACCAUCACAUUCACUCAGUGAAGACAGCCUCCAUCGGGACUCUAGGAAGGAGCCGGCCUCCUAUGCCAGUGGUUGUUCCCAGUGCCCCUGAAGUGCAGGAGACCACAAGGAUGUUGGAAGACUCCGAGAGUAGCUAUGAACCAGAUGAGCUGACCAAAGAGAUGGCCCACCUGGAAGGACUAAUGAAGGACCUAAACGCUAUCACAACAGCAUGACGACCUUCACCAGGACAUGACUUCAAACCUGAGUCUGGAAGUCUUGGAACUUACCCUUGAAAACAAGGAAUUGUACAGAGUACGAGAGGACAGCACUUGAGAACACAGAAUGAGCCAGCAGACUGGCCAGCACCUCUGUGUAGGGCUGGCUCCAGGCAUGGCCACCUGCCUUCCCCUGGUCAGCCUGGAAGAAGCCUGUGUCGAGGCAGCUUCCCUUUGCCUGCUGAUAUUCUGCAG